rnacentral:tRNA from 1 species
GCCCCGGUGGUGUAGACCGGACAAUCAUGUCGGCCUUAUCAGCCGGCGACGCGGGUUCAAAUCCCGCCCGGGGCA